GUCUCGACUGUUCAUAGUGGGGUUGCUAUAGUUUGACUGCACAAUUACUUGAUUACCUAGCCAUUCAGAAUCUUAUGGUAUUUGUUGGCUGUAGUAGGUCCAUUGUAGGAAUGGAAUGUGCACCAAGAUAGGAUUUAUCUACUUUGACAGACAGAAAGAAGUCCUAUGCAGUUCAUGAGACUGACUCUUAAAAUCUAUGGCCAUGAUAGAUAAAUAAUGGAAAGGAGUUUCUAUAAGAGUUUACAUGAACUUGAGUCAAUUAAAUCUGGCA
rnacentral:lncRNA from 1 species